rnacentral:rRNA from 1 species
UACGAAGGGUGCAAGCGUUACUCGGAAUUACUGGGCGUAAAGGGUGCGUAGGUGGUCGUUUAAGUCCGUUGUGAAAUCCCUGGGCUCAACCUGGGAAUGGCAGUGGAUACUGGACGGCUAGAAUGCGGUAGAGGGUAGUGGAAUUCCCGGUGUAGCAGUGAAAUGCGUAGAGAUCGGGAGGAACACCAGUGGCGAAGGCGGCAUCCUGGUCUGCGACUGACGCUGUGGCGCGAAAGCUAGGGGAGCGAACGGG